GAUGAACGCUGGCGGCGUGCCUAAUACAUGCAAGUCGAGCGAACGGACGAGAGGCUUGCUUUUCUGAUGUUAGCGGCGGACGGGUGAGUAACACGUGGAUAACCUACCUAUAAGACUGGGAUAACUUCGGGAAACCGGAGCUAAUACCGGAUAAUAUUUUGAACCGCAUGGUUCAAAAGUGAAAGACGGUCUUGCUGUCACUUAUAGAUGGAUCCGCGCUGCAUUAGCUAGUUGGUAAGGUAACGGCUUACCAAGGCAACGAUGCAUAGCCGACCUGAGAGGGGGAUCGGCCACACUGGAACUGAGACACGGUCCAGACUCUUACGGGAGGCAGCAGUAGGGAAUCUUCCGCAAUGGGCGAAAGCCUGACGGAGCAACGCCGCGUGAGUGAUGAAGGUCUUCGGAUCGUAAAACUCUGUUAUUAGGGAAGAACAUAUGUGUAAGUAACUGUGCACAUCUUGACGGUACCUAAUCAGAAAGCCACGGCUAACUACGUG
rnacentral:rRNA from 1 species